CUUCCCCUGAACGCGGAUCCUAGAGGCCAGGCAGAAGCAGCAUGGGUUUCCACUCACACGGUUGACUCACAGUUUGGAACAAGAAUUAAAGAACCACGAACUUCAAGUCUGGAUGAAGUGCUUCAUGCCUGUAAUCCAAGCACUUUGAGAGGCUGAGGCGGGCAGAUGGCUUGAGCCCAGGAGUUUGAGACCAGCCUGGAAAACAUAGAGAAACCCCGUCUCAAUAUAAGAAGAAGAAGAAAAAGAAAAAAAAAAAAUCAAAAACGAAAACAACACAAAUUUUAGAGUGAUGUAAAAUUCUCAAACAAUGAGAUAGAUAAAAAGUACGCAGCCAAAAAGUGCAGGAAGAAGUGUUAUGGAGAUGGAGCAGGCCCUUCGUAAAAACACGAUGUUGGUUUUCUGGAUUUUGGAGGCCUCACAAAACCUGGAUCAGACUCGCCCACUGCCCUGUGUCUGCCCUCCCGACCCCCUCUCCUG
rnacentral:lncRNA from 1 species